rnacentral:rRNA from 1 species
AUUGAACGCUGGCGGCAUGCCUUACACAUGCAAGUCGAACGACAGCAUGGAGAGCUUGCUCUCUGAUGGCGAGUGGCGAACGGGUGAGUAAAGCAUCGGAACGUACCGUGUAGUGGGGGAUAACGUAGCGAAAGUUACGCUAAUACCGCAUACGCACUGAGGUGGAAAGCAGGGGAUCGUAAGACCUUGCGCUAUACGAGCGGCCGAUGUCAGAUUAGCUAGUUGGUAGGGUAAAGGCCUACCAAGGCGACGAUCUGUAGCGGGUCUGAGAGGAUGAUCCGCCACACUGGGACUGAGACACGGCCCAGAUUCCUACGGGAGGCAGCAGUGGGGAAUUUUGGACAAUGGGGGCAACCCUGAUCCAGCCAUGCCGCGUGAGUGAAGAAGGCCUUCGGGUUGUAAAGCUCUUUCGGCCGGGAAGAAAUCGCACAGGCUAAUACCCUGUGUGGAUGACGGUACCGGCAUAAGAAGCACCGGCUAACUACGUGCCAGCCGCCGCGGUAA